rnacentral:lncRNA from 1 species
ACUUUACUUUGGAAUAAUCUGCUAUUCUGAAUGAACGAGGUCUGGAUCCCUUCUUUUUCACCACUCCUGCAAAUGGAAAAGUCUGUGGCUCCAGGCCCCUGCACACUUUCAGGACUCCUGGAACAUGAGAUGCAGAAGUUCUUGAAGAAAAGCCAAGACUUAGAGAAGAGAUGUGGACACACCGUGAGCUAGGAACAAAUGUCUCUUGAUUUUUCCCUAAAAUUCAGGUCACUUGGAUAUCCCCCUCUUAUCCAUCCCUCUAAGGCCAGAACAUUCCAGAGCAGGAAAGGACCCUCCAAAUCCUCCUUUCCAUGCCUCUGAGGGGAAAAAGCCAUAGGCAGGUGACCGUAACUCCUGCCUCCCAAGAUCUCCCUGCCCUUGGGCUCCAAGAUGGUGGCUCUAUCUUCAUCUGCCUGCCUCAAACCCUGCCCUUCUUUCCCUCCAACCUAGGAUCCUAGGCAUCCCCCCAAGUCUUCCAGGUCUGAGGCCUCCUGGAGCCAUCUUCUCAAGCGUUUCUAUCCUGACACCCCUCAGCCCACAGCUGUGACCUCAAAGGGGACCCUAGUCAUUCUUCCUGUGCAUGUUUCACAAAUGUGCAAGCUUUGCACUUAGCCUUCAUCACUCAGUAAGAAAUCUUCAAAGCCACAGGCCACGUUUCUGUACCCUUUGCCUUCACCGCUCAGCUAAACUCUAACCCAGGCAAGGUCAAGAAACACCUGCUGAUCUGUUCAGAGCAGAAGGAGUAGCUGGAAACACUGACCAGUUGAUCAGCCUGGAGCAACCAGGUGCUUUCUCUCACUCCCCCUAAAACUAACUUACCCCUGCCCCCGACACACACACGAACACACACAAAAGCAUGCAAGCUGCACUCCAUGUCAUAUGACUGCCUAAUGGCAUCUAAUGUGUACCUAUGCUAUCAUCUGACCUUUGGGCAUCAAUCACAUAAAGCCCGUUGGUGCCCCACAUGGGCAGACACAUGUUGCACACACCCAUUACACAUACUCAUUAAACUUGAGCCUCUGCAAUGACCCAGGCCCAGGUCUGCCCAACCAGCCACCAGGACUGAAGCUUAGACUGGUACCUUCCUGGUCAUACUCCAGGGCGGCACCCAAGCAGUGAGGAACAAGUCAUUAGAACCUGAAGGGAGAACUAGCCCUUGCCCAGGGCUCUUCCCUCAUCUCCUAGAUUGAGGCACUGGCCAUCCCAGCACGAAUACCCCACUCCCACUAAACACACAGAGUCACCCAGGUUGCCCACCUCCUAGCACCCGGCUAAAGCUUGGGGAGUGCACAGACUUCUGAGAUCUGGAUUAAGAGCUCAUUCACACACUGAUCUGAGUAACCCUCCGAGAAGUUUUAUCCACAAACUGGUAUAUGCAUAAUCUAAAUCAACAAUCAGCUGUGAAAGUACAAGGGAAAGAUAGAAGGAGAGGGACAGGGAGGGAGCAAUGACAGCAGAGAGCAAGGGGAAUGACUGAUAAAGUUAGUGUGUAUUUGUAUGGGCAAAGAGAAAUGUGCUCAUUAAUUCAAUACAUGUUUAUUGAGCAUGUACUCCAUCCCGGGCACUGAGCUGGGUCCUGUAAGAAACAGACAGGCUUGGCCUCUGCCUCCCAGAGCUAAGAUGCUCAGGCCUGUUAUUAAUCAUGAUCACCCAAAUAACUGUUUUUAAACUUUUUCCUGCACCCUAUCCUGGACUUCCUAAGAGAAUCUCCUGGGUGAAACCCAGGAAUCUGUAUUUUAAGAUCUCCCUGAGAGACGCAUACUGCUGGUCUACAGAUUGAUGUUUGGACAUGGCAGAUAAUUAAGUAAUAACAACAAAGUUUGAUGCAUAUCAUGAUAGGCAGGGGUUGUGUGGUGAGCUCUGAGAAUGUGGAGGAGGUAGUAUACAGAAACACAGAGAAGUAGAAUGUAGAGGAGUCACAGAAACUCAGCACUAGAAAAAACCCUGGAAUUUGUGUCAUUCAAUCUCACAGAUACAGAAACUGAGGCCCAGACCCAGAGAGAAGACAAAGCCAGAGCCAAUAAUAGAUAACCAUUACCAGACAUAUGAAUAUACUGUUUGUCAGUUGCGAAAUAGCUCUAUGGAGAUGAAGUUUGAGAUGAAUGGUGGAAACACAGAAGGUAAAAUAGAUGACAAAGAUAAUGAACAAAUGGGUAAAUAGUUCUUAUUGUUAGGAAGAACAUAUAACUAAUAGAAAAUCGGAAAUAUAAAUUAGCCAGUUUUGGGGAGGCAGUUUAAUGAGAGCAGACAGAAGUAUAUGGCUAGAUGUAAAACAGCUACGGGGUGGGACAGAUUAGAGAGCUCUGGAGACAGAUACAGAUAUUAACAGUAGAAAUGCAUGGCAGGGGGGCUGUUGGGGGUGACUGAUGCUUGACAAAUAGCUGAUAGCUGGAAAUGACAGGUAAGCUUGCCUGGUAAGUACCAAGAGGCGGAUAGAGAAGUAGCUAAUUAUAUAGCCUGGCUCCGUAUGAUAAGUUAUGAGGGCAACAGAAAGGCAAUGUUGAUGACGGAAACUGCAUAAGGGAGGAAGAACGCUGGACUAAGAGGACACACAGGUUUGGAUCUUCUUAUGCUACUAAUCUGACAUACUACCUUAAAGGGAAGGGACUAGGGAUGGGGAUUAAUAUUAUUUGAGCUCAUAUGAGGUACCUUUAAUCAUUAAACAACUAUUUUCUCAAUGAGGAAACCAGAGCUCAGAGAGGUUAAGUGACUUGCCCAGGGUUACACAGUAAGUUAGCAGGGAGGCAGGUAUUUAAAAUCGUGUUUGCCCA